ACGCCCGCGACAGAAAGGACAGGACUGUUCUACAUUUGGCCUGUGCCCAUGGCCAUGUGGAAGUGGUCACUCUCUUGCUGGGGAGAAGAUGCCUGAUUGACAUCUGUGACAGACUAAACAGGACGUCUUUAAUGAAGGCUGUACACUGCCAGGAAGAGGCUUGUGCCAUUAUUUUCCUGGAACAUGGUGCCAAUCCAAACAUUAAGGAUAUCUACAGCAACACUGCUCUCUAUUAUGCUGUGUAUAAUAAGGGGACUUCACUGGCGGAAAAACUGCUUUCCCACCAUGCAAAUAUUAAAGCACUAAACAAG
rnacentral:lncRNA from 1 species